AUGGAUAUUUCAUGUGGGUAAAACAACAAAUAUCAACCAGAACUAAUCAUGAUCAACUCAACAAUGCUCUCUUCAUAGGAAUACUAAAUUUUACCGUAAAUUAACUACAGAUACAUCUUGCUACUAUCGCUACAACACGGGCGCAGUGCUCGUCGCCGCCGCGACGGCGACGACAAAGCUACUGUCGCUACAACACGGCGCAGGUGCUCGUCGCCGGGGACAAUGAAGUUACACGCUGCUGCUUAAUCUAUGUUCACUUACUAUACAAGUUAAAUCAAGAGAUGCUCCCC
rnacentral:lncRNA from 1 species